GAUCUAAACUUGAUCUCUCUCAUUCUGUGCUGGAAAAUGACUGCUGGAAACCAGGUCAGAAUGAGAGGAGCCUGCCCAACAUCCAGCGUGGCACACAGACCCUGCCAGCCCACUAUGCUGGGCCUAAAGGGGGCUCAGGCAUAAAGGCACAUGGACCUCACCAGUAAUGUGUGAAUAGGCCAUUCCUUGGAUGGAUACUGAAACCAGGGUGUCCAAAGACAGCUAAUGGCGUAUUACAUGAAAUAUCUGUGUCAAGAGAGUAUUCCAUAUACCUCUCUGUGCUGGCAGAGGUGGGAUGCUAUCUGGUUUCUUUGUGGCCUCAUGUGCAUGGCCCCAGUGGACCUGCUACCCACAGAAAUUACUUCCAUUUGUUUAAAUGUCAAAGCUCUUCAGUCAUCUUGGGAAAGUCCUCUAUAAUACUGAAGCACAAGUCACAAAAUAGCUUUCUUUAACUCACAGAUGUUUAUUGGACAUUUAUGAUGUGCCAGGAACUUUUCUAAUGUGGAGGCAGGAUGUUAAAAGGCCCUGCCACAAUCCUAAACAACUCACAAUCUGGCGAGACCAGACAUUGGAGGUGGUGGUUGCAGAGCCUUUCAACAUGUAUGAUAAGUGUUCUUGGGACAGAAGAGGUUACCAGUAAGCAUGUGAUAGGGAAGCUAGGGGCAGUUCUUACUUCUGGGAGUCAGAACACUUUAUGAAACUGGAUAGAUAGAAUGUACUAUCUAAAAUAUAAACGAGGGACUUUAAUAAAAUUGUCAAUAGAAUAGACCAAGUCCGUUUAGAGGGUUUGUUGUAAAUACCCCUGCUACUUAUGGAUUUGUGAGGCACUGCUAUGCUAAGUAAUGAAUGUCAGUCUCCUAGUUUGUGAUUAGCAAAGUAUAAAAGGUGAAAUCCCAAACAAAUGGCUUUCCUAGGCUAACUUCACCCACUCACACAAGUAUUUUAUCACUGUGAUGCAGAAAAUCGCACCCAAAGGAUCAAGUUUCAUGGCCUCAGGUCCUCUGCUAGAUGUGGUAUUUCCUGUGACUCCUUUCUCAUACCCUUCACUAGUCGUUUGUGAAGCUUGAUCCUGGAUUAGGUGUUCCUGUGAGUCUGGUUCUUUGUUCAGCCCUUUGUGUUUUUCCCUGUGUGGUCUCAGGAGAAAGAUCUGGUAUUAGAAGGGUUCCUGGAAGAAGUAACAAGGAUGGCGAGGAUGAAAGAGUGAGUAGGAGUGAACCAGAUGAAAAAGUGGUGAGAAAUUCCAGAUGAACAAAAGAACACAUGCCAGGCACUAUGAUAAGCAAUUUAUAAUUGAAAAUUGAUAUUACUAAUACAGAAUCCCUGAGUUAUACACUUCAGGAAGAGCACAAAUACAACAAUGACCUCUUCUGGCCCUGCCCUGCAACCCUGCCAUUGGAAUGUGAAACACUGUGCACACUGAAGCUACUGCAUAAAACAAGAAAUCUUAACAGAAUUGACUCUGGAUGAUUGGCCAAUGCCCACCCCCAUCUCUCCAUCAAAAGAUGUGUAUGUUAGUGAUAUGAUUUCUGAAGUCUUCCAAAGCCGCAGAUAUCUUUCUCUGAUCCUCGGGGGACUGACACCCGCGACCCCACGUUCGAGACCAAUGACAUUCUAUUUCCUCCAUCUUACGAACGAUGAACCUGAAGCACAAGGAACAGAGUCCCCUAUUCUUCUGUAUUUUCAAUACCAACUAGACCCAUGCCUUGCAGAUGAGUCGCUAAUAGAGGAAAAGAUGACUGGACAGACAGAAGGAUGAAUCAGUGUAGACCUGUUUCACCGAAACUUCAUGCACUGAAAUGCUACAAAGGCAGCCUUGGCACAAUAAAGGACUUUGGCUUUGGCAUCUGAUAGGAGUGAAAAUCCUUUCAAGGACCACCCACAGGCAACAUACUUCCCUUGUUUCCUAAUCUGUGAAAUAGGAAAUGAAUUAAGCAGAAAGAGGAAAUGAGGCAAUGCUCUGGACAAUUUCAAAUUACAAUGCCUGAUGUUUAAUGGACACUUCGCACUCUGCUCUCCUGACCCCUAGGCCCACGCACUCUGCUCCCCAUUGUCAACACCCAGAAAUACUUAGCUGCUAAGGCAAUGACAGGUACCACGCUGGCUUUGCCCCCUCGAAGCCUUUCACAAAACCUCCAAGGACCCAGAGUGAUGAACCCAGAGACCAGCGAAGUGGGCCUUAGUUAACUGAGACCAAGGCAGUUGGAAAAAGAGGGUUGAGCCAGCCUGAGCUAGAGCAAACUUGGACAGACACAUGUCCUUUCAGGGAGUACCUGAUGCGGCAAAGGCCACUGCCACCUCUCCAUCCGGUUCCACAAGUGAAGCCCCCUAAAGGGGUGGGAAGCUCUUGGGCGAUAGAGAAUGAAAAAAUGGACAAACCAACACCAAGCUGCCUUUGGCGACAAUGAGUGUCAAACCUCACCCCCUUCCCCGCCUCCUCUUCCCUCCCCUUUCCAUCAGGCUCGUUCUCUGGCGCCCUCUGCAGGCCAUGCUCGGAACUCCAGCUGUGGUGGAGAACCUUUAACCACCGCGAGUAUCCAUCCACUGGUGUUGGGAACUGGGUUCCGUUCUUGGGGUCUUUGUUCCCUGCCUGGGCGAUCCUGCAAGGGGACUGCCCGUGCUGACCACAUCCCCAGGAGCUGCCUGUACGAGAGCCCGCGGGCGAAUAGGGAGGGUCACACUGGGAAAAGUGAGGGCUGUGGGGAGCGGGACUGGAGGGGAGCAAGGGGCAGAAAGUGCUGGGGUGGGCUUGGGUCCUGGAAGCUGAUUGGAAGAAAACAGAGAAGCAGUGGAAGGGGGCUAAGGACACCGUGCCUGCCUGCUUGGGUCUUAAUCCUGGCUUUGCUAAUAGCUGUUUGUCUUUAGGUCAAUUGCUCGAUGUCUCUCCAUGGCCACAAUUUCCUUUAAAAUGGGGAUAAGGGUAGCUGCCUCCUGUGCUUGUUAGAGGAUAAAACUAGUUAAUAUUUGUAAAUACUUGGAGUACAUUUUGGUCACUGAAAUUAACAGUUGGCUUUAGAGAUGGCCACCAACAGCACUGGCAUCACCUCUUCAGAAAUGCAAGUUACCGGGCCAUACUCCAGCCUUAGAGAGUCAGCAUCUUCGCAGAGGGAGCUCAGAAAUCUGUUUUGACAAGCUGACCAGAGGAUUCUGAUGCAUCAUAAACUUUGCGAAGCACUGGUCUGAGUUUCCGCGGUUUUUAAAGCUACCCAAGUGGUAGCUGGAACAGGAAGGGAAGGAGAAUCAGAAAGGGGCAGACCAGUUUAAGUAACAAGUAGGGAAUCAAGACCCGCAAGAGGGGAGUGAACUUGCCCAAGAUCUCCCUGCAAGAAGCUAUGACACUCCUCCAGUGCACCACAGCCCCCAACUAGUCCCACGGUCUUAGGCAAACGGUCCUGUUUCCUAAUCUGUGGAAUGGGAGCAAAAGCCAACCUAACUCCAGGGGUGACUGCGAAGAUCCCAUGAGACCCAAAUGUCAACUACAAAACACCGACCCGCUGGGAAUAGGGUCUGAACUACAGUGAUCAACCAACCCCAGGCCCCAGAGCCUGACAUGCCAGCAAGCCCCUGGGCCCCCGCUGGGCGGAUUUCCCUC